CCACUUUACUGGGCUCAUCAUCGCUGACAUUUAUAAAGUGAAUGAUUUGGGUUCAAUGACCUGAAAGCUAAAAGAGUUCUCUGAUUCCAAGUCCAUUUUUAUUCCUGAAUAAAGUUUUCAGCAUAUUAAGGAGGAAAAUCAAUUAUGUUUUUCUUCUGAAAAUAUCUUUUCACACCAAACCUUUCUCAUGGCCUUUUUCAUCUCUGUAUUUCUCAGGGUAUAGAUUAAUGGAUUGAACAUAGGAGCGAUGAUGGUAUAAAAUAGAGCAAAUAUUUUGUCCUCAGGUUUAGUGGUAGGGGCUGUAAGGUAGGCAAAGAUCGAAGGCCCAAAAAAUAAGACAACUACAGUGAUAUGAAACCCACAGGUAGAGAGGGUUUUGUGCCUUCCCUCUGCUGAAUGAUUUCUUAAGGUGAAUAAUAUAAUGACAUAAGACCCAAACAAGAGAACAAAGGUUACUAAGGCGACCAUUCCUGAAUUGGCAGCCACGAGGACACCAGUGAUGUAGGUAUCAGUACAGGCAACUUUCAGAAAAGGACAAAUAUCACGAUAGUAGUGAUCGAUUUAGUUAGGACCUCAGAAGGCCAGCCCGAUAAAACUGAGAAAAGGAAUGGACAGUCCCACUAGCCCAGGCAGCCAAGACUAGGAGAUUGCAUCUUGUCCUGUUCAUGACGAUCAGGUAUUGGAGAGGUUUGCAGACAGCAACACAGCAAUCAAAGGUCAUGACUGUAAGGAUGAAGACCUCAACAAUGCAAAAGAAGUCCAUGAAAAAGACCUGCAAAAUGUGAUUACUGUUGGAGACGUUUUUUUCUUCCCAGUAGCAGGUCAUUGAUUAGUUUAGGUGGCACAAAGGAGGUAGCGGAGAUGUCCACAUAGGAUAAGUGACUGAGGAAUAGUACAUUGGUUGGUGAAAAAGGGCACUGUAUUGAAGAGAGGUAAAAAUCAGAUGGCUUCCUACUAACACAGAAACGUAGCAUAAUAAGAGCACAAAGAAAAACAUUUGUAUGAUCUGCUCAGAGGAAAGGUCCAUAAAGAUGAAUUCUCAUAUAUUCUUCUGAUUUUCCUAUUUGGUGUAAAUAGUAGUGAAGGGUUAGCAAACUGUG
rnacentral:lncRNA from 1 species